CCUACGGGAGGCAGCAGUGGGGAAUAUUGGGCAAUGGGCGCAAGCCUGACCCAGCAACGCCGCGUGAAGGAAGAAGGCCCUCGGGUUGUAAACUUCUUUUAUCAAGGACGAAACAAAUGACGGUACUAGAUGAAUAAGCCACGGCUAAAUACGUGCCAGCAGCCGCGGUAAUACGUAGGUGGCAAGCGUUAUCCGGAUGUACUGGUUGUAAAGGGCGUGUAGGCGGGACUGCAGGUCAGAUGUGAAAACCAUGGGCUCAACCCACGGCCUGCCUUUGACACUGGCAAACUGGAGUGUGGGAGAGGAAAGUGGAAUGCCAGGUGUAGGAGUGAAAUGCGUAGAUAUCGGGAGGAACAUCAGUGGCGAAGGCGACUAUCUGGCACAUAACUGACGCUGAGGAGCGAAAGCGUGGGUAGCAAACAGGAUUAGAUACCCGGGUAGUC
rnacentral:rRNA from 1 species